AUUGAACGCUGGCGGCAAGCCUAACACAUGCAAGUCGACCGAGUGGCGGACGGGUGAGUAAUGUCUGGGAAACUGCCUGAUGGAGGGGGAUAACUACUGGAAACGGUAGCUAAUACCGCAUACCAUCGGAUGUUCCCAGAUGGGAUUAGCUAGUAGUGGGGGUAAAGCCACACGUAGGCGACGAGCCUUAGCUGGUCUUAGAGGAUGACCAGCCACUGUGGAGCUGAGAAACGGCCCAGACGCCUACGGGAGGCAGCAGUGGGGAAUUUUGCACAAGGGGGGCAAUCCUGAUGCAGCCAUGCCGCGUGUAUGAAGAAGGCCUUCGGGUUGUAAAGUACUUUCAGCAGGGAGGCGGUACCUGCAGAAGAAGCACCGGCUAACUCCGUGCCAGCCGCCGCGGUAAUAC
rnacentral:rRNA from 1 species